UACUAGAGUAGCACUCGCAUAUCAAUAAGCGGAGGAAAAGAAACUAACAAGGAUUCCCCUAGUAACGGCGAGUGAAGCGGGAAGAGCUCAAAUUUGAAAUCUUAAAGGGUUUCCCUUUACGAAUUGUAGUUUAAAGAAGUGUUUUCUGUUGAGGUUUUGGUAAAAGUUCUUUGGAAUAGGACAUCAUAGAGGGUGAGAAUCCCGUAUUUGACCUUUACUUUCAACUUUGUGAUACACUUUCAAAGAGUCGGAUUGUUUGGGAAUGCAGUCCAAAAUGGGUGGUAAAUUUCAUCUAAGGCUAAAUAUUGGCGAGAGACCGAUAGCGAACAAGUACCGUGAGGGAAAGAUGAAAAGAACUUUGAAAAGAGAGUUAGACAGUACGUGAAAUUGUCAAAAGGGAAGCGUUUGACACCAGUGUUGUUUUUCUGAAAAUCAAUUAAAGAACUGUUUAUGCUAAGCUGUUUAGACUUUAUCAGCUAUCUGUUUAGUUUUGAGCUUUUCCUUAAUGCACUUUUCAGUUAACAAGUCAACAUCAAUUUCUUUUGCUGUAAAAAAGCUUGAGGAAGGUGGCUUGAGAUUCGUCUUAAGUGUUUAUAGCCUCUUGCCUAUGCAGUCGGAGAGAUUGAGGUCUGCAGCGUAGAUCCUUCGGGGCUAAAUGCAUUUGUGCUAAGUUAUAGCAUUUUAUAGACAACUUGUUGACUAUGAUUUGUCUUGUAGCUUACUCGCUUAUGUUAUUUUACCUACGCUUAGGAUGUUGAGCGCAUGUCUCUCUCU
rnacentral:rRNA from 1 species